GGAGAGGUCGCAUAGUUGGUCUAGUGCGGCGGUCUUGAAAACCGCUAAGGGCGCAAGCUCUUCGUGGGUUCGAAUCCCACCCUCUCCG
rnacentral:tRNA from 1 species